UCGAACGCGAAAGGGACUUCGGUCCUGAGUAGAGUGGCGAACGGGUGAGUAACGCGUGGGUGACCUACCCUCGAGUGGGGGAUAACGUUCCGAAAGGGACGCUAAUACCGCAUGACAUUCCUGGUUUGAAGACUGGGAAAUCAAAGCCGGGGACCGCAAGGCCUGGCGCUUGAGGAGGGGCCCGCGUCUGAUUAGCUAGUUGGCGGGGUAACGGCCCACCAAGGCGACGAUCAGUAGCCGGCCUGAGAGGGCGGACGGCCACACUGGGACUGAGACACGGCCCAGACUCCUACGGGAGGCAGCAGUGGGGAAUUGUUCGCAAUGGGCGCAAGCCUGACGACGCAACGCCGCGUGGAGGAUGAAGGUCUUCGGAUUGUAAACUCCUGUUGAUCGGGACGAAAAGCUCCAACCCAAUACGUUGGAGACUGACGGUACCGGUUGAGGAAGCCACGGCUAACUCUGUGCCAGCAGCCGCGGUAAUACAGAGGUGGCAAGCGUUGUUCGGAAUUACUGGGCGUAAAGGGCGCGUAGGCGGCCUUCUAAGUCGGACGUGAAAGCCCCAGGCUUAACCUGGGAACUGCGUCUGAUACUGGGAGGCUUGGAUUCGGGAGAGGGAUGUGGAAUUCCAGGUGUAGCGGUGAAAUGCGUAGAUAUCUGGAGGAACACCGGUGGCGAAGGCGGCAUCCUGGACCGAGAUCGACGCUGAGGCGCGAAAGCUAGGGGAGCAAACGGGAUUAGAUACCCCGGUAGUCCUAGCCCUAAACGAUGAGUGCUUGGUGUGGCGGGUAUCGAUCCCUGCCGUGCCGAAGCUAACGCAUUAAGCACUCCGCC
rnacentral:rRNA from 1 species